rnacentral:rRNA from 1 species
AUUUUUUGUCUGACUGUGUCCAAACCUGAUCUCAUCAUAUCUCAGAAGCUACGGAGGGCAGGGCCUGGUUAGUACUUGGAUGGGAAACUGGUGGGAAAUACCAUCUACUGCAGUGAGCGACCAGCGGCAAAAACUG